rnacentral:rRNA from 1 species
CCUACGGGAGGCAGCAGUGAGGAAUAUUGCUCAAUGGGGGAAACCCUGAUCCAGCGACGCCGCGUGAGUGAAGACGGUAUUCGUUUUGUAAAGCUCUAUCAUCUGUGAAGAAAAUGACGGUAGCUGAGGAGGAAGCCCCGGCUAACUACGUGCCAGCAGCCGCGGUAAUACGUAGGGGGCAAGCGUUGUCCGGAUUUACUGGGUGUAAAGGGUGCGUAGGCGGCCGUGCAAGUCUGGAGUGAAAUCCAUGGGCUUAACCCGCGAACUGCUUUUGAAACUGUACGGCUUGAGUGCAGGAGAGGCAAGCGGAAUUCCUGGUGUAGCGGUGAAAUGCGUAGAGAGCAGGAGGAACACCAGUGGCGAAGGCGGCCUGCUGGGCUGUAACUGACGUUGAGGCACGAAAGCGUGGGUAGCAAACAGGAUUAGAUACCCUAGUAGUC